rnacentral:rRNA from 1 species
ACUGGAGGCWGCAGGGGGGAAUAUUGGGCAAUGGRCGAAMGCUGACCCAGCGACGCCGCGUGYGUGAUGAAGGCCUUCGGGUUGUAAACCKCUUUCAGCAGGGAAGAAGCKMAAGUGACGGUACCUGCARAAGAAGCACCGGCUAACUAUGUGCCAGCAGCCGCGGUAAUACAUAGGGUGCAAGCGUUGUCCGGAAUUAUUGGGCGUAAAGAGCUCGUAGGYGGUUYGUUACGUCGGAUGUGAAAACCUGAGGCUCAACCUCAGRCCUGCAUUCGAUACGGGCKAACUAGAGUGUGGUAGGGGAGACUGGAAUUCCUGGUGUAGCGGUGGAAUGCGCAGAUAUCAGGAGGAACACCAAUGGCGAAGGCAGGUCUCUGGCCAUUACUGACACUGAGGARCGAAAGCGUGGGGAGCGAACAGGAUUAGCA